AUGGGUCCUUUGAGAAUACGCCUCCUGAACGACCAAUGGUUAACGGCGGUUCUGUGGAGUGGUUUUGCAAGAAUAGUUAAUAAUGAGAUCAUCAUUUUAGGAAAUGAUGCAGAACUGGGUAGUGACAUUGAUCCAGAAGAAGCUCAACAGGCACUUGAAAUAGCCGAAGCUAACUUGAGUAAAGCUGAAGGCUCACGAUUCGACUUUGAUCGUUAUGGAUUGGUACCAAGAUCAAGUCCUAGACAAGCGGACCUAAUUUUAACAGCUGGGGGCAUGUUCAGUACAGAUUCCUAUAGUACUGUUCGAGGAGUUGAUAAGUUAAUUCCUGUGGACGUCUACCUGCCGGGUUGCCCGCCUAAACCAGAGGCUGUUAUAGAUGCCCUAACAAAACUUCAAUGGGUUGGGAAUUAUGCUAGAUCCCGUAUAAAUGGAAAUUUCAUUGAUAAGCCUCCUCGAUUGUAGCCAAUAUUUAUUGCAAAUAAUUCCGACAACCUCCGGGGAAAAAAGGGCAUUUACUUAUUAUAGAGAUGGGAUGUUGGCUCAAUCCGAAGGAAAUUAUGCGGAAGCUUUGCAGAAUUAUAUGAAGCUACGCGACUAGAAAUUGAUCCCUAUGAUCGAAGUUAUAUACUAUAUAACAUAGGCCUUAUACACACAAGCAAUGGAGAGCAUACAAAGGCUUUGGAAUAUUAUUUCCGGGCGCUAGAACGAAACCCCUUCUUACCGCAAGCUUUUAAUAAUAUGGCCGUGAUCUGUCAUUACGAGAACAGGCCAGUUCUACAGGGCGAUUCGGAAAUUGCGGAAGCUUGGUUUGAUCAAGCUGCCUGAGUAUUGGAAACAAGCUAUAGCGCUUUACUCCAGGAUAAUUAUAUGAAGCACAGAACUGGUUAAAGAUUACGAAGCGCUUUGAAUUUGAAUAA